rnacentral:rRNA from 1 species
GACGAACGCUGGCGGCGUGCUUAACACAUGCAAGUCGAACGGAAAGGCCCUGCUUUUGUGGGGUGCUCGAGUGGCGAACGGGUGAGUAACACGUGAGUAACCUGCCCUUGACUUUGGGAUAACUUCAGGAAACUGGGGCUAAUACCGGAUAGGAGCUCCUGCUGCAUGGUGGGGGUUGGAAAGUUUCGGCGGUUGGGGAUGGACUCGCGGCUUAUCAGCUUGUUGGUGGGGUAGUGGCUUACCAAGGCUUUGACGGGUAGCCGGCCUGAGAGGGUGACCGGGCACAUUGGGACUGAGAUACGGCCCAGACUCCUACGGGAGGCAGCAGUGGGAAAUAUUGCACAAUGGGCGGAAGCCUGAUGCAGCAACGCCGCGUGCGGGAUGACGGCCUUCGGGUUGUAAACCGCUUUCGCCUGUGACGAAGCGUGAGUGACGGUAAUGGGUAAAGAAGCACCGGCUAACUACGUG